rnacentral:rRNA from 1 species
GAUGAACGCUAGCUACAGGCUUAACACAUGCCAGUCGAGGGGAAACGACAUCGAAAGCUUGCUUUUGAUGGGCGUCGACCGGCGCACGGGUGAGUAACGCGUAUCCAACCUGCCCACCACUUGGGGAUAACCUUGCGAAAGUAAGACUAAUACCCAAUGAUAUCUCUAGAAGACAUCUGAAAGAGAUUAAAGAUUUAUCGGUGAUGGAUGGGGAUGCGUCUGAUUAGCUUGUUGGCGGGGUAACGGCCCACCAAGGCAACGAUCAGUAGGGGUUCUGAGAGGAAGGUCCCCCACAUUGGAACUGAGACACGGUCCAAACUCCUACGGGAGGCAGCAGUGAGGAAUAUUGGUCAAUGGACGAGAGUCUGAACCAGCCAAGUAGCGUGCAGGAAGACGGCCCUAUGGGUUGUAAACUGCUUUUAUAAGGGAAUAAAGUGAGUCUCGUGAGACUUUUUGCAUGUACCUUAUGAAUAAGGACCGGCUAAUUCCGUG